CACGUAGGGGGCGAGCGUUGUCCGGAUUUAUUGGGCGUAAAGAGCUCGUAGGCGGCUCGGUAAGUCGGAUGUGAAAACUCUAGGCUCAACCUAGAGACGCCACCCGAUACUGCUGUGGCUAGAGUCCGGUAGGGGAGCAUGGAAUUCCUGGUGUAGCGGUGAAAUGCGCAGAUAUCAGGAGGAACACCAGUGGCGAAGGCGGUGCUCUGGGCCGGUACUGACGCUGAGGAGCGAAAGCGUGGGGAGCAAACAGG
rnacentral:rRNA from 1 species